rnacentral:lncRNA from 1 species
CUGUGCCCUGCUGCUGCUGCUGCUGCUGAAUCACUGCUGCAUUCAUCUAACCGCUCUACUGUUGACUGGAUUUACUCUUCACUCAACAUGACUAAACAUACAGUCAAAUUCUGUGUCAAGGUCCUCGGGAAUACUCUGGGUUCCCACGAAACCUUUGUGAACGAUCUCAGAUCCAACUUCCAGCAGGUGGAGGUCAUGAAGGAUAAUGAUGAUGUCAUCGUCAUCGCUUUUGUCCCCGUCGUGUCUCGAGCUGGAACUGACAUAGAAGCUGCUCUUAGCCAGAUUCCUGCUUCUCAACCGGCGGUUCUGGUGGUUCUCUUCCACACAAAUGAUCCAUAUUUCGUGGCUCCAAACAGCAGCCUGUGUGUGAACAGGGAGAACGUGAUCACUGUGGACUGCCUGUUUCAUGAAGACCUGGGUCUGCUGAGAUGUGAACGUAACGCUGAGGCUCUGAGAGCAGUAAAAGAUCAUUUGAGCAAAAAUGAUUCAUCUCCCCUGAUAGAACGCUCAUUCAAUCAACCACAGAGUUUACUGUGUUACCGGCUUGUGGAAUUGUGGCAGCACAGAUCAGUCAAAAUCGGCACUAUUAUCGGCAUUGUCACUAUUUUGAGUCUUCUUGUGAUCAUUCUUGGCAUAAGAGGUCUGAGUCCCAGCAACAACACAACAGCAGCACAGCCUCAUGCCACAGCAUCAGCACAUCCCAAAGGUGCAAUAGUGGUCCAGCCCAAAGAUGUAGCAGCAGUCCAGCCCAAAGAUGCUGUAAUGGUCCAGCCCAAAGAUGCAGCAGUGGUCCAGCCCAAAGAUGUAGCAGUGGUCCAGCCCAAAGAUGCUGCAGUGGUCCAGCCCAAAGAUGCUACAGUCCAGCCCGAGGAUCCAGCAGCAGCACAACCCAGAGAUGCAGCAGCUGCAGCAUAGCCAGUGACAGAGGUUCUCAGUAAAACCAGUAAUGAAUAUACUCUGCCUGUCCAAAAAAAAAAGAAGUUGCCACCAAAAAAAGGUCACAAGCACACAUUCACUGUGGCAUUGUUUUAAUAAGGUUCUGCAAUGUCGCAAGAUUUAUUUUAAUCCAGUGUUGCUGGAUUAAUUUUUCACCAAGAUCUUGCAGCAGCAUUG